GGGGGUGUCGCUGGCAAGUUUCCGCAAGGCCCUUCUCCAGAAAGUCCCUCAGCGGCAAAGGGCAUCAAAUCGCAGGGACUGCGGUCCCUCAAGAUCUCUCCGGCCACCAGGGCACCUCUCGAAGAGGUGACCCACAGGAAAAACGGCAGCACUUUGGAAAAGAGGAACAGUGACAGUGAGAACUACCUGACCAUCCCUCUUAAGGGAAGCUCUGCAGCUGGGGAGCUCGCGGGCAGGCCUGGGGCUGGCAGGGAGGGGCCCCCAGCCUCCUCGGCGGCCACUCUCUGCAGCUUGCCCCCCCUGAGUGCCCGCAGCCAGGUCCCCAGUAGCCCCAAAGGCUCUCAGCCACAUCCCAGCUGGUGGGGGCCAAGGGCUUCGCUCAGCUGCACGGUAAGCCUGUCAUCAGCAUCACUUCGCAGCCCCUGGGGCCGAGGAUCAUUGCCCCCCCCUCCUUUGACGGCACCACCAUGAGCUUCGUGGUGGAACACAGAUGAUGAGCGGUCACCAGAAAGCAGAAGGGAGCGGCUGCUGGAACAAGACGGAAAGAUGGACAAAACUUUUUAAAUCUGAAGGCUGCAUUGUAACAUCACUAAGAAUCCAUUUGAAAAACUUCCUCUACCUGUGUUAUUCAUAGUUUUUGCUUCUUAUAAACCAAGUGUGUAAGUUUCUAUAUUUUUCUGAAUAACUCUGUUAAGACAGUUUGUGUUAUUUUAGUUUCACUAAGCUGAUUGAAUGGGUGCAUUAUUUUUUUUUCCUGUGUAAAACGAUUUCUUUUUAUACUUUAAUACAGGAUAUAAGCUUUCUAUUCAUCUUCCCCUCCUGCAUUUGCGACUAAGCAAACAAUCUCUUAAGCAUUCUCAUAGUUCAGCCAACAUAUACAACAGAAUAGGAUGGGUUCUAUUGUAAACCAAAGCAGCAAAUCAGUAAUUUGGAUCACAGAUCUCCCUAUAAAUUCUUGGAAUAUAUCAGGACUAGCUGGCAGAGCUGUAGCAUUUGUUUGGAUUUAAAUAUGGUGGGUCUGCAUUGUGAAUCCUACACCAGCCAAGCCUAGUCGUUCUCUUGGUUAUGUUUUACAUGCUCUUUUAUUGGGUUUCGCAUGAUUUCAAAUGUGAUUGUGAAAAACAGUGGUUUUAACCUGUGUGCCUAGUUUUAACUUUCCCAUUUGUUCAAUGCCAUGACACUAUUUGUUGCCUUCACAUAAAAUGGCUUGAAUUACUGGAGAGCCAGUGGUUGCAUUUAAAAUUAAGUUCAUUUCAAAAAGGUAUCAAACUUCUUUUGCCCUCUAGGAAUCCGACUUUUGCUAUGAGGGGAGAGCAUUAUUUUUCUUCUUCAGUGAUUUCCUCCGUAGUUGCAUAUUCCCAUCCCUCACGAAUUGUUUGGAGUCUGAAGAAUGACCUGUUUGGGGCAGUGAGGUAGAAUGUAAACUCUUGAUUUCCCUCCAGCUCUAGCCAUACCAAUAGCAAUGACCAAGGAUGACAUUAUUUGCUCCUUAUGGUUUUAAGACACGUCAGAUCUUUCAUCAACAGUCAGUACUGCCUCAGUUGUAGCCCAGUUCUAAAGGUUAUUUUAGUGAGUGUUCCUGGUGAGUUUUGAAGAGCUGAUUGAACAGAUGAAUAUUCAGCGCAUCAUAAUUAAUAAGUGAGUCAAUAUAUAUUCAACACGUGUUACGUUGGAAUAUUUUUUACUUUUUAAAAGAAUAACUUGAAGUUUCUCCCAGGUUGUUUUUUGGUUUUUGUUUUUUUUAGGAAUCACCUUUUACCUAUUCAAUGAUAAAGCAUUCUGGUAAUUUUCUAAGCAUUAUUUUGAUUUUAAUGAUCAUCAAUAUUGGUUUCUGCUUAAAACUGCUUCUGGAAACCAUGGAAUUUUAUACUAUUCAAGACUGAAGUGUGCGUGAAAAAUUAUAAGACUUAUUUUUGUAUGAUUUAUGUCAUCUCAUUACUUUGUAGUUAUGCUUUCCAUAUCAGUUGGACUCUUUAAAUAAAACUCAAUUUCACACGGAGGGCCUUCCUUAAAGGGGUCUUACUCUGAAAGUUCUGAUGAGUAAAAGGAGGGGUUUGAGGCAGGAAUAGUCAGCUCUGAUCACAAUUCAGUCGGUCAUUGGGCUAAUGAGCUAUGAAAUGACUCCCAUAGGAGACGUGGAACAUGAAAUAUGAAACAGUCUCUGUUUGGAAAAGAUGUGCUUGGGGAAGGUGUCAUUCCUCUGGUCUUCCUACCCAAGCACAUCAGCAUAUUCACCCCAGAACUUACUUAAUUUUUCACCACUGGGAAGCAUCUCCUACGGCAUCAGCCCUUCCUCAUUUUCAGUAGAGAUGGGCUGGGCAUGAGGUCACUUAAUAUUGAAACAAGAAAGCAGAAUAUAUCAAAGAUCUCAAACUGAUGAUACGCAAAGCAGCACCUUGAAGUCUCCAGUGUUUGAACACAUCUGGUGACACGUUAGAUAGGAUUUGGUGGGUAGAACCAGAAUUGAUAAGACCGUUAAAACCACAUGUGACUUUUUUUAGGAAAAUCCAGGGCUCGUGUGGCAUCGUCAGCUGCUUGUCCCGUCUUCAAAAAGAGGCAUCUCCCUUCCUAGAACAUGUGUAGAGGUCUUAUCGACCCAAGGGUCUGGAGGUCCCAUAAGUUCUUUAUCGUUAUUUAUCAGCGGCAGAUCUGAGCCUUAAAUUCUCACAUUGCGGUAGAGUAGGACAGAAACGAGGAAAGAAAGGAGAACUUUUCAUUUGUCAGUCGUUUCAGAAGGUCCAUGUUCUCUGAGAAGCUGCUAUGGAUGUAGUACACGUCCAAUUGUUACAAAUGGACCUUUCAAAUGAUAUUCUGUGGACACCAUAUCAUUUUAUGUUUCGCUAUUUCUUCAAACCAUGAAAAAACAAAAUCAAAGCUGCCGGGCCAUUUUACUACCUCAAGUAAGAGGGAGGAACAUUUUUAAAGACAUGAGGUAAAUCUAAAUGCCCAUUUUCAAUGUUUUAUUUUAUCUUGAGGCUGCAUUUGAUAUCGGAAUGAAGUAGUCGUGCCUUUCCCUUCUCAACCAAAGUAAAGAGGAGUGAAGCAAGAAUCUAUGAAGUCCUCUGACCCAUAAGAUCAUUGCUUUAACAGUGUCCUUUCAGCUAUGGAAUGACCCUUUUAUAGUUUGUGUACACAAAACCAAUAAUCAAGCAUGCAGCAGUUCCUAAUUAGUGCCCGGAGCUUGACUCUAAUUAGAACUGCAGAGUCUGGCUUUUGCCAUUUGCUUUCAGGGUUACAUGUGUGAGUUAGUUUUCCAGAGGAACCAUAGGGCAUUGUGUAUAUAAAUCUUAACCCAUUUCCUCAUUUUCCCUGUUGGUUAAAUGGUCAAGCUGAAGUAUGCUCCAUUUGAACUGCUUUCUGGAAAACCGAACACAUAUGCAACUAGUAUGAAGAUUUAAUUUACCAGAAUGUAUUUUCUGAAAAAACCCUCCCUGAAAAGUGCCCUUACAAUGAAAUGAAGCCCAAAUAUGCAGUUAGUGACUUAACAUAUAGGUUCUCUGUAUGUCUGUCUGUGUCUAAGUUUGUAUGUAUAUGGCUCUCUGGAUAUCAUUGAAUGAAUAAGCUAAAACAAAUUAUCCUUUGACAUCUUUAUAAUAAAUCUUAAAUGUUAACAUGUCUUUCAAAUUCAUCCAUAUAUCACUGGGAGAUAUCUAGCGAUACGUAUUUCUUGUUCUUAAUUUUGGAUUUGACUUCAUCAUUCUUGCCUCUUAAAGAAAUUUAAUGCAAUUUAAUUAUGUUUCAUAUUUCAUAGCAAUGAAAGUCUGUGUUUGCUACAAAUUGAAUGCUCAUGCUACCUGAAAAAUACUUUGGACUGCAGGACAGUGUUGAUUCUUAAGUAGAGUGAUGAUAACUUCAUAAUAAGUUUAUAUAUAUGUGCAUGAGAAAACACAUUCAAUCAUAGUCUCUGUGUUUAAAAACUAUCACGGUAUACAUUUUCCUAUGUGGUGCUUGAGGAGGUUCAUUCUACAGUUUACAAGGUGUAGGUUUGCACCCCAAAUUCUCAGGGUAUGCUAUUUUACCCAAAUACUUGAAAGAAAAAGGUGCCCUGUAUUUUAUCAGUACUGUUGAGGUGGAAAAUUCUGUGUAGGUUUGUUGUAGAAAAACUACUUCUAAAAAUCAAAUUCACAAAAUAUGUUAGGCUUUGACAUAAUUCCUAAGGAGAUAUAGAUAUGAUAUAUAUUUGCAAGAGACUUUCUAUAUUCAUAACUAACUUCUGGGUCCUAAGUAGACCUCACAGGUGCAUAAAAUCAUUAACAAAGCAUGUAGCAUUUGCUAAGUCAUACCUUGAGCUUGAACCUAAUCGGAAUUGCAGACUCUGGUCUUCUGGGGAAAUACAAAAACAUGUCCAUCUGUGGCACAUGUGUUACAAGACCCAGGGAAGGAUUCUGGAAAUUGGACUCAUUUGGAUGCCCCGGGUCUCAGAAGAGAACUGAACAUUCUCAGCAGCAAUCGUAAGCUCUUCACAUCUUGUUUCAUGUUGCAACUAGAGCAUAUUAUUGGUGGUAUUCCUAUUUGAUUAAUAAUGGUGCAGAAUAAAACACACUCACACAAUACAUUGAAUUUUAUUUCAUUUUUUAAGUUGCGCAAUGGCUUUUUACAAGUUAGUGUUAAUGGCAGAAAGUCCUUUCCAGGGCUCCCUGAAAUUACCUAUCAUCCUUGUAUCCUUUUUCUAGCAGGUGGUCCUUUCUUUUUCUUCCCCUUUGAAGAUGUAGGUUUCUAUAUUGACGUUGAAAUCAUCUUAUUGUACAGUUAAGACAGUGGUGGUUGGAAAGAAUGUGAAGACUGAGGAAGUUAUGUCCCAAUCAGAGGAGAGUAAAUUGUGUGGUAAAUGGAGAAAGACAUUGGACAAGGCUGACUUAUACCCCUGGCUAUGAAAAAAGCCAGUGGGAAAUGGAAAGAACAUGAACAUUUAAGCUGCUCUCAAGACAGACAUCUCGGUGGAAGAGUUCCUACCUGAGGUCUGGUGUGACUCAGUUACGGAAUGCAGUGAGCAUGGCCAGUGGGAUUGUGAAUCCAGCCCAACAGCUCCGAGAAUCACUUUGUCAGUGUGUGGCACAUGGAGAAAACAAAGACAAGGACUCUGUGAGACUAGCCUACGUCCCUUUAAUUGCCAGCAUUUGUAAGUGAUUGUGCAAUCUUGUGUAAUGGUCUUUUAUUUUGACUCUCUUGAAAAAAAGAAAUGUUGUGUUGUUGUUGGUUUGUUUGUUUUUUUUUUUCCAGUAAAAGUAAAUGCAAAGAAAA
rnacentral:lncRNA from 1 species